ensembl:lncRNA
CAGAGAGAGAGGGGGUGAGAUACAGAGAGAGAGGGGGUGAGACAGACAGAGAGCGAGAGGGGUGAGAGACAGAGAGAGAGAGAGGGGUGAGAGACAGAGAUAGAGAGGGGUGAGACAGACAGAGAUAGAGAGGGGUGAGAGACAGAGAUAGAGAGGGGUGAGAGACAGAGAGAGAGAGGGGUGAGAGACAGAGAUAGAGAGGGGUGAGACAGACAGAGAUAGAGAGGGGUGAGAUACAGAGAGAGAGAGGGGGGUGAGAGACAGAGAUAGAGAGGGGUGAGAUACAGAGAGAGAGAGGGGUGAGACAGACAGAGAUAGAGAGGGGUGAGAUACAGAGAGAGAGAGGGGUGAGACAGACAGAGAUAGAGAGGGGUGAGAUACAGAGAGACAGA